AUAUCAUUUCCUAGGCUUGUUUCACGAAGAAAUCCAUCAAAAAUAAAGACAUAUUGAAAAAUAACUUUAGUACUUUAAUGCUUAAGAAUCCAAUCAAAAAUCGAGAUUCGAUCGAAAUUUAUCGAUUUUGCUACAAUGAGGAAGAUAAAGAUAUAAUAUACACAACACACAGACUCGGUUCUGCAGAAUUAUUAUUUGAAGAUAGUUUGAAAAAGGAACGAGCAAAAAAGUUUCAAAUUAUGUCCGAGGGCUAUGACUAUUUUGGAUCACACUUCCAGGAAAUGGAGAAAGACUACGACGAGCUGAAAAAAAAUGAAAUGAACUCGCCGUAUCAGGCUCAAAAACUCACACCUGAUGAAGACUUCGAAUUUGCUUUAUGGAGAAAAACCACGUAUCAUUAUGUAAAUGUGAAACCGAUGCAACGUCGACAAGCGAAUCUCUGGAAUUACAUCAGUUUAUACAUACGAGAAGAUAUCAGAAAAAAUGGAAAAAGCUACGAUAUACGUACAGGGGUAUUUACAUUACCAGGAAACCGACCAAAACCCUCAAUCCUGGGGAAAAUCCACUCGCCAGAUAUCUGGUUAAAAUUUAUUCACGACGAAAACGCUCACAGUGGAAUAGUCAUCAUAAUGAAUACAAAUUAUGGUAACUCUGAUACGGAUACAUAUUUCAGUGAAAUAUGCGAGAAAAAUUGGUGUGAAAAAUUUCUCCGUGAUAUAUUUCCUGAAUACGAAGUCGAACUCAAAACCGUGGGGUGUUGUCCAACAAACAAUAAAAUUUUGGAAUUUUUCGACACAUCUGUGACAAUUCGUAAUCUAUUGGAAAUAGAUUCAUUGACAGAUGAAAGAAAACACGCAGCAGAUAAAAUUGACGAAAAUGGACCACUUGAAGAGGAAACAGAACGACCCUCCAAAAAAGCAAAGCUCGACUAACCAGAAAAACAUUUCGUUCAAUAAAAAUUAGCUAUAUCGUUAAUUUUUAAAUUCACAUUGUAAUUCAAGUAUAGGUACCUAACCUACUUGUCCUGAUUGAGAAUUUUUGAA